UGGUUCUGGGGUCUCAGCAGGCCGUGCUCAGGGGCAUCUCCACCAUGGCCUGGGCUCUGCUCCUCCUCACCGUCCUCUGUCAGCACACAGGUGA
rnacentral:pre_miRNA from 1 species